CCUACGGGAGGCAGCAGUGGGGAAUAUUGGACAAUGGGCGAAAGCCUGAUCCAGCAAUGCCGCGUGAGUGAUGAAGGCCUUCGGGUCGUAAAGCUCUUUUACCAGGGAUGAUAAUGACAGUACCUGGAGAAUAAGCUCCGGCUAACUCCGUGCCAGCAGCCGCGGUAAUACGGAGGGAGCUAGCGUUGUUCGGAAUUACUGGGCGUAAAGAGUACGUAGGCGGUUAUUCAAGUCAGAGGUGAAAGCCCGGGGCUCAACCCCGGAACUGCCUUUGAAACUAGAUAACUAGAGUCUUGGAGAGGUUAGUGGAAUUCCGAGUGUAGAGGUGAAGUUCGUAGAUAUUCGGAAGAACACCAGUGGCGAAGGCGACUAACUGGACAAGUACUGACGCUGAGGUACGAAAGCGUGGGGAGCAAACAGGAUUAGAUACCCUGGUAGUCCACGCCGUAAACGAUGAUAACUAGUUGUUCGGUCACUUGGUGACUGAGUGACGCAGCUAACGCAUUAAGUUAUCCGCCUGGGGAGUACGGUCGCAAGNUUAAAACUCAAAUNAUAGAGCGNGAGAGNGCGAGACGACACGAGGAGAG
rnacentral:rRNA from 1 species